rnacentral:rRNA from 1 species
AUUGAACGCUGGCGGCAGGCCUAACACAUGCAAGUCGAGCGAGCGGCGGACGGGUGAGUAAUGUAUGGGGACUGCCCGAUAGAGGGGGAUAACUACUGGAAACGGUGGCUAAUACCGCAUACUAUCGGAUAACCCAUAUGGGAUUAGCUAGUAGGUGGGGUAAAGGCUCACCUAGGCGACGAUCUCUAGCUGGUCUGAGAGGAGGAUCAGCCACACGGGGACGGAGAAACGGCCCAGACUCCUACGGAGGCAGAAGUUGGGAAUAUUGCACAAUGGGCGACAGCCUGAUGCAGCCAUGCCGCGUGGAUGAAGCAGGCCUUAGGGUUGUAAAGUACUGUCAGCGGGGAGGCGUUACCCGAAGAAGAAGCACCGGCUAACUCCGUGCCAGCAGCCGCGGUAAUAC